rnacentral:rRNA from 1 species
UGGGGAAUUGUUCGCAAUGGGCGCAAGCCUGACGACGCAACGCCGCGUGGAGGAUGAAGUAUUUCGGUAUGUAAACUUCGAAAGAAUAGGAAGAAUAAAUGACGGUACUAUUUAUAAGGUCCGGCUAACUACGUGCCAGCAGCCGCGGUAAUACGUAGGGACCAAGCGUUGUUCGGAUUUACCGGGCGUAAAGGGCGCGUAGGCGGUGUGUCAAGUCAGUUGUGAAAUCUCCGAGCUUAACUCGGAACGGUCAACUGAUACUGUCACACUAGAGUACAGAAGGGGCAAUCGGAAUUCUUGGUGUAGCGGUGAAAUGCGUAGAUAUCAAGAGGAACACCUGAGGCGAAGGCGGGUUGCUGGGCUGAUACUGACGCUGAGGCGCGAAAGCUAGGGUAGCAAACGGGAUUAGAUACCCAGUAGUCCCUGAGCGGGCUGGCAAGGCGCAU